rnacentral:rRNA from 1 species
UACAGAGGUCUCAAGCGUUGUUCGGAUUCAUUGGGCGUAAAGGGUGCGUAGGCUGCGGGGUAAGUCUGCUGUGAAAGCCCGGGGCUCAACCCCGGAGGGUCGGUGGAUACUGGCGGCCUUGAAGGUGCUAGGGGGGAAUGGAAUUACCGGUGUAGCGGUGAAAUGCGUAGAUAUCGGUAGGAACACCAGUGGCGAAGGCGGUUCCCUGGGGCACUCUUGACGCUGAUGCGCGAAAGCUGGGGGAGCGAACGGG